AGAGGGAGCAUGAGAAACGGCUACCACAUCUAAGGAAGGCAGCAGGCGCGUAAAUUACCCAAUCCUGACUCAGGGAGGUAGUGACAAGAAAUAGCAAACCGGGAACCUCAUGGUUUCACGGUAUUGCAAUGAGAACAAUUUAAAACCCUUAGCGAGAAUCAAGUGGAGGACAAGUCUGGUGCCAGCACCCGCGGUAAUUCCAACUCCACUAGCGUAUAUUAAAGUUGUUGCAGUUAAAAAGCUCGUAGUUGAACCUCUGUCUGGGGCUAGUUUUGGCUUUGGUCAGGCUAGUUCUAGGCAUCCGCCUACAAGACUUAGAGGGCAUUCAGUUGUUCACUAGGAGGAGUAGGCAUUUUACUUUGAAAAAAUUAGAGUGUUUAAGGCAGGCAAUCGCCCGCAUAUAUUAGCAUGGAAUAAUAGAAUAGGACACUUUUCCAUUUCGUUGGUUAUUGGAAUCGUGUAAUGAUUAAUAGGGACAGUUGUGGGCAUUUGUAUUUAAUUGUCAGAGGUGAAAUUCUUGGAUUUAUUAAAGACAAACUAACGCGAAAGCAUUUGCCAAGGAUGUUUUCAUUAAUCAAGAACGAAAGUUAGGGGAUCAAAGACGAUCAGAUACCGUCCUAGUCUUAACUAUAAACUAUUCCGACUCAAUGUUUGACUGGCUUAUAUAACCAGUUGAGCGUUGUAUGAGAAAUCAAAGUCUUUAGGUUCUGGGGGGAGUAUGGUUGCAAAGCUGAAACUUAAAGGAAUUGACGGAAGAGCACAACCAGGAGUGGAUUCUGCGGCUUAAUUUGACUCAACACGGGGAAACUUACCAGGUUAAAACAAUAGUGGGAUUGACAGUUUGAGAGCGCUUUCUUGAUUGGUUGGGUGGUGGUGCAUGGCCGUUCUUAGUUGGUGGAGUGAUUUGUCUGCUUAAUUGCGUUAACGAACGAGACCUUAACCUGCUUACUAGACUGGCGAUCAUCAAUCGUUAGCUCUUCUUAGAGGGACUUUGGUUGUUUUAACUCCAAGGAAGUUUGAGGCAAUAACAGGUCUGUGAUGCCCUUAGAUAUCCUGGGCCGCACGCGUCAUACAAUGACUAGUUCAGAAAGUUUUCUCCUGACCCGAAAGGGGAUGGGUAAUCUUGAUAAUACUAGUCGUGUUAGGGAUCGAUCUUUGCAAUUAUAGAUCUUGAACGAGGAAUUCCUAGUAAGUGCGGUUCAUCAGACCGUACUGAUUACGUCCCUGCUCUUUGUACACACCGCCCGUCGCUUCUACCGAGUGGGUGGUCCGGUGAGAUAAUUGAACUUCGCAGGUAACUGAGAGGAAAGAUUAUCAAACCUAUCCACCUCGAGGAAGAAGAAGUCGUAACAAGGUU
rnacentral:rRNA from 1 species